rnacentral:tmRNA from 1 species
GGGGGCGAAUAGGUUCGACGUUAACUUGUUCUGCCGGAUCAGCAGGCCAUGGUUGACCAGGCCAUGUAAAACAGGGUCAAAAAAACAAAAGCCAACUCCAACGAGAUGGCCUGGGCGCACGCUUAAGUGNNUGGGGCGCGCUUCGUCCCUGGAAGGCAAAAGACUAAACGGAGCUUGGCCGGUUAUUGUCGUCCUGAACUUAUGCCGGCCGAGACACACUCAGGGCUAAGCCUGUAGCGGUUCCGACAAGCUGUUGACGGACCCGGGUGCGAAUCCCGGCGCCUCCAUAA